rnacentral:lncRNA from 1 species
UGUUUAACUUUGGUAUCCUAACAAAGAGGUGAUUGGGAAUAGUUAAUAAGGAAUAGCUGUUCUGGAAUAACCCCCUUUUAAGACAAACCCUUACUCUUUCUAUAAUUGCUUUCUAGGAAGCUAUUCUGUACUGAAUCAGCAUGGGAUAGAGUGCCUAGAAGACAUUCAGACCAAGCACAGCUAGCGCUUUCACUAAUUUGGAAGUGUCUGAGCUGCUACUAUGAAGCACGGAGAAACUGCAGCCGAGCAUUGUGACUGACAGUCCUGUUAAGAAAAAGUGAUGCACAAGCGUCCCUGCUGGUUCUCCAUUCUGCAUCCGUGCAGCCACGUUCUAUUGAUGGCCUGUUGUGAUUUCAAUGGAACAUCAUGGGAUGUACCUGGCACGUCGGGCAGCACUGGAUGGAGGUGCCUUUAGCCCAAUGUACCUGGCAUGUACCGUUAGUUCACUAUUCAGGUGCUCGCUGUCUAGCCUUCUCAUCCAUCCACAAACCCUCUACGUGAAAUGA